CUAUGCGCCUUGCCAGCCCGCUCAGGUGUGCCAGCCGCCGCGGUAAUACGGAGGAUGCGAGCGUUAUCCGGAUUUAUUGGGUUUAAAGGGUGCGUAGGCGGAUUUUAAGUCAGCGGUAAAAUGUCCGGGCUCAACCCGGGCCGGCCGUUGAAACUGGGGAUCUUGAGUGGGCGAGAAGUAUGCGGAAUGCGUGGUGUAGCGGUGAAAUGCAUAGAUAUCACGCAGAACUCCGAUUGCGAAGGCAGCAUACCGGCGCCCGACUGACGCUGAGGCACGAAAGCGUGGGGAUCGAACAGG
rnacentral:rRNA from 1 species